AUUAAGUUAAAUUGGUAUUAAAGUUGAAGAUAUACGAACUGCACAGUCAUGUGUUCUGUAAUGGGUACGGAUAUGCAUAAUAUUACGACCCUUUUCUAUAAGAUUUUACUUAGUAAUACAUUCAUGAAUUAGAAAAUAUUGAGAAAACACAAACAUAUGAUAUAAAUACAGACUGGGUAAUAAACCGAACAAAAAUAAAGCAAACAUUGUUGGUCAAGAUUUCGACUCGA
rnacentral:lncRNA from 1 species